UAUACCCAUGCAGUGUAGUGUGAAAGGCAGAUGCACACAGACAAGAGAUAGAGAGCUUGAGAGCAUUCUGCUGGAAACACACACACACACUUGAGAGUUUACAUCUUUGGUUUUGUAAACAUUGUGCUUUUUGGUGAAGGUGAUCAAGGAAGUGGAACUGCAUUGUAUGCUAAGUGGUGUUAAUCGGUGAAAUCUUGUGUGCUUGUUUCUCUACUUGCUUCAUCCCGGUUUGCCUACUAG
rnacentral:lncRNA from 1 species